AAACAAGCUCGGCUAGCCCUGACUCGUCUGAGAUGCUCUUGGACCUUCAAGGGAUCAACUCAACCGCAUCUGACUUGGAACCAUGGACGCAAAUGAUCUAUACUGUUUCCAGGAUGCUGUUUCAAGCCACAAGGAUUUCACAAGGAGCUUGCAGAAAUUCCGAACCAUUGAACGGUCUGCUGUCUCCAGCACGCAGGAGCCCAUUCUGCCUCCCAGUUCCAGCUUCAGGAGGGCCACCCUCCAUCCAGACAUCAGGGUUGCGUUUCAGCAAACAGCAAGGAAGAAUCAGAAGCAAAGGGUAUCUUUUGUUCUCGUUUCCAGUGAACUCCCUCUGUGAGCCCUCACUGGCCAAACUUACGUACAUGACACGGAGAUCACCUGGAGGACCAAGGAUGUACGCAGGCAAAUGGGAAUCAAAUGUCCCUUGCUGCAGAUGAAGCAGCUUUGGAGAGUGGCCACCUUUCAGUAACGAGAGCAUUAGUAACUUCAGCUCAGAUAUGAAACAAACCAUCUGCUUGAAGAUGAACUUGCAACAUCGCCAGCCUGCCCACAUUCCCUUCCCCAUUUUGCUCCGAUAAAGGCGUUGUCUUCUUUUGAAGGUUCCCCUUACAAGUCUCCCAAAAUGGAAGAAGCUGCACUAAACACAAAUAGCCUCUCUCAAACACACCCACUAGGUGAGUGAGACAGACUGAAGACAAAUGGGACAAACGUCAUGUUAGUUGAAACACAUUGGAACUUGGCAAGUAAGAGUUACUAUCUGAUAUGUAAGUCCCUCCCACCCUGUGAGGUUUAAUCAGCCAACCAUUGGCUUACAUGGAAUUCCUCUAAUCCUUAUCAUCACGUGCAAUUACUGAAAUGAAUACCAGGUUUUAGAAAUGCUACAACAGUUCCUGACAGAAUGAUAAUCAACGGCUAUACCGUAUGGGUCAGAUCCGAGAUAGAAUAGGCGUUCCUAAGACUAUGCUUAAGGAAGAGUUGGAGCAGAUAGGAUUUUCACACAAUGGUCAAACAUGAGGCUGUUCGUGAAGCCAAGGCAAGCUCUCUGACGGGAUGCGAGCACGGAGAGCAUUUUACUCCCGGCUAUGUCAUGGAUCCUGCAAGAAUGGGUUACAUGGACAUGAUGUGGUGGCGGAAUUGAAUACCGCAAACCUCGUGCCUAAAUAUCUGUUGGACGGCACUGGGAAACCAGGCAGGCGCGGUUUACCUGGGAGUAAGGCGUGGAUAACCCCACCAGAGUAGUAUUUAGUUCACAGAGCAGGGCAUUUGAAGCUAUUGAAAAAUAUAUACUAUUUUUCACAGAUUAUUCAGGAAGAAGUAUUACCCCCUAAAAUUUUCAUAUGCAUGGCCUAACAGAUCCCCUUUUCUGUUUAAUCCGGUUAAGCUAAGGAGCCCUGACUAAUACACCUGACUAAUAGGGCGCAGGGAAGAAUUCCUCAGGCUUGUGGGUGUGUUAGAAAGACUUGCUAAACUGCAGGUUGCUGGCCUCUCCUCCACAGCGCGUGAUGUGGUAAGGCAGGGUCCAACGCUACCGAAACUGCAGUCACUUGUUAUGCAUGAGCGAAUGAGUAAAUAGACUCGGAGUGAAUCCUUUAGUUCAUAAAAUAAGAGAUCACGUCUGAUGGUCUAGGGUUGUAAUUGUUGCUUUGUGAGAGGCUGAGGCAGGAGGAUCACGAGUUUCCGUCUCUUCUGACCUACCCAGUGAAUUCAAGGUCAGUCGUGGCUACAUGGUGAGACCCUGGACAAAGUUAGGACUGGGAGAUGUAGCCCAGUGAUUACGACGCAUGCGCGAGGUCCUCAGCUCGCUUCCUAGCCCUUCAAAAGAGACAGAAAUGAAACAAAAUCAUGACAUAAACCACGAGAUGGGACGAUCUCUGGGAUUUGUUUGUUUCUAUGAGUCUAAACUACAAAAUGUUCUACUUAUAUAGUUUGCAUUUCUUAAUUUGUUAUGUGUAUGUACGUGGGGCUGGGACACACAGGCCACGGUAUACGUGUGGGCUUAAGAAGAAACCUCACAGUUCUCUCCAAACUCAGCUCCGCACCCUUGGUAGGGAGCAUCUUGAUUCUCCGAGCCAUCUUGCUGGCCACUACUUAUGUAUAUUUUUCCUAUUCAAAUAAACACUGUGGUGUUUACUGAGAG
rnacentral:lncRNA from 1 species